rnacentral:rRNA from 2 species
CAUGCCGGUCGAAGAUACCAGGCCGCUGCGACUGUUUAUUAAAAACACAGCACUCUGCAAACACGAAAGUGGACGUAUAGGGUGUGACGCCUGCCCGGUGCCGGAAGGUUAAUUGAUGGGGUUAGCUAACGCGAAGCUCUUGAUCGAAGCCCCGGUAAACGGCGGCCGUAACUAUAACGGUCCUAAGGUAGCGAAAUUCCUUGUCGGGUAAGUUCCGACCUGCACGAAUGGCGUAACGAUGGCGGCGCUGUCUCCACCCGAGACUCAGUGAAAUUGAAAUCGCUGUGAAGAUGCAGUGUAUCCGCGGCUAGACGGAAAGACCCCGUGAACCUUUACUAUAGCUUUGCACUGGACUUUGAAUUUGCUUGUGUAGGAUAGGUGGGAGGCUUUGAAGCGUGGACGCCAGUUCGCGUGGAGCCAUCCUUGAAAUACCACCCUGGCAACUUUGAGGUUCUAACUCAGGUCCGUUAUCCGGAUCGAGGACAGUGUAUGGUGGGUAGUUUGACUGGGGCGGUCUCCUCCUAAAGAGUAACGGAGGAGUACGAAGGUGCGCUCAGACCGGUCGGAAAUCGGUCGUAGAGUAUAAAGGCAAAAGCGCGCUUGACUGCGAGACAGACACGUCGAGCAGGUACGAAAGUAGGUCUUAGUGAUCCGGUGGUUCUGUAUGGAAGGGCCAUCGCUCAACGGAUAAAAGGUACUCCGGGGAUAACAGGCUGAUACCGCCCAAGAGUUCAUAUCGACGGCGGUGUUUGGCACCUCGAUGUCGGCUCAUCACAUCCUGGGGCUGAAGCCGGUCCCAAGGGUAUGGCUGUUCGCCAUUUAAAGUGGUACGCGAGCUGGGUUUAGAACGUCGUGAGACAGUUCGGUCCCUAUCUGCCGUGGACGUUUGAGAUUUGAGAGGGGCUGCUCCUAGUACGAGAGGACCGGAGUGGACGAACCUCUGGUGUUCCGGUUGUCACGCCAGUGGCAUUGCCGGGUAGCUAUGUUCGGAAUAGAUAACCGCUGAAAGCAUCUAAGCGGGAAACUAGCCUCAAGAUGAGAUCUCACUGGAACCUUGAGUUCCCUGAAGGGCCGUCGAAGACUACGACGUUGAUAGGUUGGGUGUGUAAGCGCUGUGAGGCGUUGAGCUAACCAAUACUAAUUGCCCGUGAGGCUUGACCAU